UAGAGGGCUUUCUUUGAUUUACUGAGGGCUGUGGAGACUCUCUACCCUCCCUCUGGUCCAGGCAGCUCAUGCCAGGUUAUGUAACAGGCAUAGUCAAACAGCAGAAGGGCUGUAGAAGCAUGCAUGUGUUGGCAGGGUCAGCUUUUAACACUGACCCCUGUGCUGGGACCCCUUGCAUGGCAUGUUAGUGUCAGACCCAGGCACAGAUCUCAAAUCCAGUCUGUUCACAUCACUGCUGCACUACAUGGAGAAACAGAUUUACUACCCAGGUACCCAUAAACAGGUUCCUCAGAGAUUUUCUGGGCUGUGUGAUUGAUUUGUUUUGUUUUGUUUUGUUUUUCCCCCGCCCAUACUUUCUAGCUUGGAGUCCUGUGCAGUAGAGUGGACUUACCUUGUUCAAUGACAACCCUGUGCUGUGUUCUUAGGAAGUGAAAGUGAAAAUCCAGCUGUCUUUAAAGAAGGGAGAGCCAGUGGUGUGCCUUUUUCUCUGGGAUCUAGGUGGCUUCUGUCUCCUCUGCAGGGCUCUGGAAGAGGAGCUGAGUGAACUGGGAGCUGGAAGGGCUGCUCAGACACAUGGAGAAGGGAAGCGAAGUGGCAAAGGGCUUCCUUGGACACAAACAACUUUUGAGGGAAAUGACUGAGAAAGGAUCCUGGUGAUCCUGCCCUGGGAUCGUGGAGGAUCUAGGGGAGCAUCCAAUGCUGCUGGAGCUGAGCACCCGGGGCAGAGUGAUGGAUUCUCCCUGCUUCACAUGGUUAUGCUUCCUGCUUCUGACCACUGCAGCCCCCCAUCCGAAUGUUGCCAUGCCCAGUGGUGACCUUGCUGAGCAAACACAAGGCUCUUCCUUUGGCAAAACAUCUGUGACAGUCUACCACUGUAAAGACUGUGAGAGCAAGAUAUGCAAAUUAUCUAAUUAUGAAGACUUUAUAAAAAUUGGUGAAACAGAAAAUGAGAAGUUUUCAAAUGAAAUAAUUCAGUUGGUGACCACUGCAACACACAUCAUUAUGUGUUUUGAGCAAGAAAAUACUCCUGCUGAAGGAGUUUAUGCCAUUGUCUGGGAAAAAGCCGUGGGAAUUGGAGACUCGUGUGGCAUCCUGAAUUCUGGAGCUUCCUCAGAAAAUAGGAGGAGUGACAUCAUUAUAGAGGAGAAUAAAAUUUGCUGUGAAGCAGAGAUAAACCUCUCAGUGCCCAACUCCCCUUUGAAGUGCUACACUAGAAUGUCAGAUGAAAAAUCAACAACUGACAUCACUGGUAAUGCUCAAUUUUCAAUCAGUAAAGAGAGCAGAGCCGGCAUCAUCGUCUUGGUACUGUUUCUUGGGGUUUGUGCAGCAGUAGCAGCAUAUCAUGUUCGACAGAUGAGAAAUCAUUGAGAUGCUCUACAUUGUAUGAGCCUUGCAAGCAGCACUGCUAUUAGAGAAAACAAAUGAGCUUCUGACAUGUAAAAACUUGCAUCUGUUUGAAGAACAUCUACAUAUGAGAAAACCAGGCCUGUGCCAGCAGCGUACUCCUCGGUAAUGACAUAGAGUAUUCAGCUGAGGAAACAGAGCUCAUUUUAUACGAGACCUCAUGGUAGUUUUCACAAAUGUACCUUCACCAAAUCUGUGCGUUCACUAAGGACUGUGAUUGCCACAGUUGUCCAGCUCCAGGCCUUGUGAGCAACACGAGAAGCUCCCUGGAUCUCCCAUCCGCUCCUGGUGCUUCACUGAGGACAGCAGCCAUCGCAAGAUGUGUGUCUCACUCAGCAGCACAGCUUUACAUCAGCUGAAUUCUCUCAACGGUUUUCAUGAUUGAAACUAUCAGUUCAUCUGAAAUUCUUCAGAGAGCUGUGUUCUUGCUCAGGAAAGAUGUGCCAAAUCCUGACAUCUUCCAUUUCAUAAUGCGAUAGCAUGCCCAUAGGUCUUUAUUUUUUUAAUUCCCAGGUGGACUCUAGACCUAAAAAAAAAAAAAGCAUUUUGUACCAAUGACUGAUUAGUUGAAUUAGGGGGUUUGGCCUUUUGAACAAAUAUUUGAUUGUGCAACCGCCUGCGUGUUGAGGACAUCUCCUCUGUGCGCUUCUGUGGAAUGGCUGGAAAACAGCAGACAUAUUAUGAGCGAUCCAGACUGAGUUGGCCUCACUAUAACAACAGUCUGUGGCUGUUGUAAAGAACACCUGCAAGGCCAAGGGGCUGAGAAACUGUGUGCGUAGCAAAAAUAUAAGGAAGCUGGACUGUGGAAAACAAGAUAUUUUCCUAGUAGGAAAGCGGCAUGUGGACACCGCACAAGGACCCAUCAUAGAGGGCAAAAGGGCGUGUGGACAAGUAGCUUCAGCCUAUUAGCAAUCAAGUACCUGCGUGUGUGCUUUAUGGUGGUCUAUAAAUUGCUGUGUAUACUUUAAUAAAGUGGCAUUAACUUGAUCACAUUGGUCGUAUAAGUUAUGUCUGGGACUUCUGCGUCGGCACGCUUCCUCCUGUGCAAGGGUGGACAGGAGGGCUAUACCCAGCUCCCUCAGGAAUGGCAUUGGGGCGUGGAGGCCACAGCUCCCUCCCAGGAACUAUGAUGUCAAUCUCCCUGAUAAAUUAGGACAUAAUACUGGCAAUUUUAGUGUGGGACACUUUCAACAGAAAUUCCAGUGGAUAGGAAAGCAUAUUGAUGUUCCUGUUCUGCUGCCUUAUCAGAAGACUACAGUAUUUCCGCAUCCAAAGACAAGUUUGGGUCUCCUGUAUGCAGACGGUGUGUAAUGAAUUCUGCACUGCAGGGAUCCCCAUUUAGUUGUUCACAGGCAGUAGGUCAUCUUCGAAUGAUUUAUCAUUCACGCUUGAUUUGAAUAAAUCCUCAAAUGUUUGCAUUAGACCUAAUCUAGUAUCAGGCUUUUGAGCAAAAAUCAGCAGCAGCACAGCUGGAAAAGCAGAUCCAUGAAACAGUAUGAGUACUUGAGUCAUUUUUACAUGGUUUAAUCACCCAUAAACCCGUAGCUGAAACUUCUAGCAGAAAAUCUCAAAGGAUGUAGAAUAUCAUGUGAAUCUUGAAAUUUGCUACAAUUAAACCUAAAGGAAAAGUUCAUAGUGAAAGACAUAAAAAAAAAAGUUAUUAAUUCAUUUUAGGAAUAGAGAAAUGCCUCUGUGCUUAAAUUUGGCUUGUUUGGCACAGGAGACUAGUGCUGUUACGGGUUGCGUUUUUUUCCUUCCCCAGUGGGGGCUUUGCACUCAUGCUGACCUAAGAUACCCUUUUAUCUCAACUCUCAGUUCAUUUGUUGGAUUUUACUUUUUCAGUUUUCAUGUGGAAAUACAGAGAAAACCUCAUGAAAAGAUGGCAAACCCCAGUUAUUCAAAUGCUUUUAAGUAUUUACUGAGUAUGUUAUUUUGACAAAUCCAACUGUGAACUCUAUCAUCAUGAAUAUUAUGCUUAUUCAAUAAGCAAAAACUAAGAUUAUCUGUGAAGAGUCCAGGCUGUGCAAGAAUUUAGAGACAGAAGGAAAAAGAUUUUUUCCUCUUUAUACAGCACCUCAGCACAGAGGCAGUUUCUGUUCGUUGGUUUUGGUGGUUUUUCCCCCAGAACAGGACUGCUGUAAGCUUUCACCAGAGUAGAGCUGUGUCUAAAAGGAGUGAGAAAGAAGAUUGUUUGAGAUAAAAGCCAUCUUUUUUAAAAGGAAAUAAUAUAUCUGCUGCUAUAGCCUGGGAAAGGAGCACUCAAAUCGGGUAUGGGCCUUUCACUUUUUGACCCCGCUGCAGCUGUCACGGGUGUUGCUUUUGGUUCUGUUUCCCUCCACUGCAAGUCUUUACUGUGGGUGCCUUUGAGGAAGUGCCAAGUGCUCCAUCUUAUGCAAUCAAGUUGUGUACUGUGUUUCUGGACAUUUCCAGUGAUGUGCACGUUAUUUCCCUAUACACAGAAAAAUAGUGUCUUAAAAUUGAAGGCCAUGGCAGUUCUUUUCUAUGGCCUUUUAAGGAGAAACUAGAUGUGUCUAUGUAUGUGUGUGGAAAAAUCUGUGUGUGUGUGUGUGUGUAUGGUGUUCAAAUCAAUGGCUGACACUGGGUGGCUUCAGUAUAAACUCAGGUUUAGUGUACUUUGGAAAAGGGACAAAGUGAUAUUUGAGAACUCGCAUUGUAUUAACUUGAGGGAUUCAGGCUUAAUGAUGUUUAGAUUCAAUUUCUACUCUUGAACACCAGCUGGUGCCAGAGUGCUGGACAUGUUUUGAGAAGAAACAUUAAAUAGACACCUCUACUCAGUGAAAGUUGCUGGGCUAAAUUAUUCACGAGAUGCAAAUCACAGACCAAUAUUUGUGGCUCACUUAAGCACACUUUCCUCUACAUCCCUUCUUUCUACUGAUGCAGAUUCUGAUAUUCAGAGGCAUCACUACCAAAUGUUUUACUUUGCCCCUCCUGAGCUGUGUGGUGCCGGUACACCAGUCAUUGCAGAUCUCACGGAAAACUGUUAUAAAUAGCUUUAAAGAUCUACAGUGUUUGUUCCAAGCAAAUGCAUUGUGGCCAUAAUUUUGUGGA